UACGUAGGGUGCAAGCGUUAAUCGGAAUUACUGGGCGUAAAGCGUGCGCAGGCGGCUUUGCAAGCCAGAUGUGAAAUCCCCGGGCUUAACCUGGGAACUGCAUUUGUGACUGCAUGGCUGGAGUGCGGCAGAGGGGGAUGGAAUUCCGCGUGUAGCAGUGAAAUGCGUAGAUAUCAGGAGGAAUACCGAUGGCGAAGGCAGGUCUCUGGGCUGACACUGACGCUCAUGCACGAAAGCGUGGGGAGCAAACAGG
rnacentral:rRNA from 1 species